rnacentral:rRNA from 1 species
GAUGAACGCUGGCGGCGUGCCUAAUACAUGCAAGUCGAGCGAACAGACGAGGAGCUUGCUCCUCUGACGUUAUCGGCGGACGGGUGAUUAACACGUGGAUAACCUACCUAUACGACUGGGAUAACUUCGGGAAACCGGAGCUAAUACCGGAUAAUAUAUUGAACCUCAUUGUUCAAUAGUUAAAGACGGUUUUUCUUUCACUUAUAGAUUGAUCCGCGCCGCAUUAGCUAGUUGGUAAGGUAACUGCUUACCAAGGCAACGAUGCGUACCCGACCUGAAGGGGUGAUCGGAUACACUGUAAGUGAGAAACGGUACAGACACCGACGGGAAGACGCAGUAGGGAAUCUUCCGCGAGGGGCGAGAGCCUGACGGAGCAAAGUCGCGUGAGGGAUGAACGUCUACGGAUCGUAAAACGAUGUUAUUAGGGAAGAACAAAUGUGUAAGUAACUAUGCUCGUAUUGACGGUACCUAAUCAGAAAGCCACGGCUAACUACGUG